GACGAAUGCUGGCGGCGUGCUUAACACAUGCAAGUCGAACGGAAAGGCCCUGCUUUUGUGGGGUGCUCGAGUGGCGAACGGGUGAGUAACACGUGAGUAACCUGCCCUUGACUUUGGGAUAACUUCAGGAAACUGGGGCUAAUACCGGAUAGGAGCUCCUGCUGCAUGGUGGGGGUUGGAAAGUUUCGGCGGUUGGGGAUGGACUCGCGGCUUAUCAGCUUGUUGGUGGGGUAGUGGCCUACCAAGGCUUUGACGGGUAGCCGGCCUGAGAGGGUGACCGGCCACAUUGGGACUGAGAUACGGCCCAGACUCCUACGGGAGGCAGCAGUGGGGAAUAUUGCACAAUGGGCGGAAGCCUGAUGCAGCAACGCCGCGUGCGGGAUGACGGCCUUCGGGUUGUAAACCGCUUUCGCCUGUGACGAAGCGUGAGUGACGGUAAUGGGUAAAGAAGCACCGGCUAACUACGUG
rnacentral:rRNA from 1 species